rnacentral:rRNA from 1 species
AUUGAACGCUGGCGGCAGGCCUAACACAUGCAAGUCGAGCGGAGCGGCGGACGGGUGAGUAAUGCCUAGGAAUCUGCCUGGUAGUGGGGGAUAACGUCCGGAAACGGGCGCUAAUACCGCAUACUAUCAGAUGAGCCUAGGUCGGAUUAGCUCGUUGGUGGGGUAAAGGCAUACCAAGGCCACGAACCGUAACUGGUCUGAGAGGAAGAUCAGUCAGACGGGACAUGAGACACGGGCCAGACGCCGACGGGAGGCAGCAGUGGGGAAUAUGGGACAAUGGGCGAAAGCCGGACCAAGCCAUGCCGCGGGUGUGAAGAAGGUCUUCGGAUUGUAAAGCAUUUUAAGUUGGGAGGCGUUACCAACAGAAUAAGCACCGGCUAACUUCGUGCCAGCAGCCGCGGUAAUUC